rnacentral:tRNA from 1 species
CUUUUUAUGGUGUAUUAGCACAAUGGGUUUUCUAUCCGUGGGAGUAAAGUUGUUUACUAAGAAGA